rnacentral:rRNA from 1 species
UACGGGGGGGGCAAGCGUUGUUCGGAAUUACUGGGCGUAAAGGGCUCGUAGGCGGCCAACUAAGUCAGACGUGAAAUCCCCAGGCUCAACCUGGGAACUGCGUCUGAUACUGGAUGGCUUGAAUCCGGGAGAGGGAUGCAGAAUUCCAGGUGUAGCGGUGAAAUGCGUAGAUAUCUGGAGGAACACCGGUGGCGAAGGCGGCAUUCUGGACCAUAACUGACACUGAGAGACGAAAGCCAGGGGAGCAAACGGG